UGAUGUGUUUGUUUUUAAUUCGCCAACUCGAGCCAGAAACAUGGAAUCAUUUUUCAUUCAUUUAAAUUGAAAUAAUUGGGUGAAAACGGAAAUGACAGUACAUUUACAAGUGCUGUCGUCCACCGGUUAUGCUAGGACGUUUGGCUUUCAUCAUAUGCAAAAGGGACUACGGUUUAGCCUUACUUGCUUCUUAACAUCAGUUCAUCUUUAGAUCCUGUGGAAACAACACCAAAACCAAACAUGAAACAGGAAUGAGCUCACACCAUCUGCAAAGACUUCUUUUUGGGACAUGAAGUGUUUAGCUAAGGAAGAUCCCCAACAGGGCAGCAAGAGUUCAAAUAAAAGUCUUCUGUAAUGAAUGUAUUUUAAGGGUGUUAACAGUGAUACAAAAUGCUACACUAACUGGUACUCUUUCCAGAAUUCAUUACAAAGACAUUUCUAAAAUAGAAAUGAGCUUUAUGAACAGAUGUCAGACUUUAAACACUUGGCUGAAACAAAAAGCUUUAUACAGAAACUGCAGAAUAAGUUCAGGAGAUGUUUAUUAAGAUGUUAAACGUAGUAAUAGCAAUAUUUCCAAAUGUGGCAUUCUGCUCAUUAUGCAUACGGUGAACUUCUUGAUAAUACAGCCAUAUAUAAAUGAACAUAAUAAUGAAGACAAUUGAUACCUUCAUACUUAG